UACGGGGGGAGCAAGCGUUGUUCGGAUUUACUGGGCGUAAAGGGCGCGUAGGCGGACUAUUAAGUCAGGGGUGAAAUCCCGGGGCUCAACCCCGGAACUGCCUUUGAUACUGGUAGUCUCGAGUCCGGAAGAGGUGAGUGGAAUUCCGAGUGUAGAGGUGAAAUUCGUAGAUAUUCGGAGGAACACCAGUGGCGAAGGCGGCUCACUGGUCCGGUACUGACGCUGAGGUGCGAAAGCGUGGGGAGCAAACAGG
rnacentral:rRNA from 1 species